UACAGAGGGUGCAAGCGUUAUCCGGAUUCACUGGGUUUAAAGGGUGCGUAGGCGGGUAAGUAAGUCCGUGGUGAAAUCUCUGAGCUUAACUCAGAAACUGCCGUGGAUACUAUUUGCCUUGAAUAUUGUGGAGGUGAGCGGAAUAUGUCAUGUAGCGGUGAAAUGCUUAGAUAUGACAUAGAACACCAAUUGCGAAGGCAGCUCACUACACAAUGAUUGACGCUGAGGCACGAAAGCGUGGGGAUCAAACAGG
rnacentral:rRNA from 1 species